rnacentral:rRNA from 1 species
UACGUAGGGGGCGAGCGUUAUCCGGAUUCACUGGGUGUAAAGGGAGCGUAGACGGCCAUGCAAGCCAGGGGUGAAAGCCCGGGGCCCAACCCCGGGACUGCCCUUGGAACUGCAUGGCUGGAGUGCGGGAGGGGCAGGCGGAAUUCCUGGUGUAGCGGUGAAAUGCGUAGAUAUCAGGAGGAACACCGGCGGCGAAGGCGGCCUGCUGGACUGCGACUGACGUUGAGGCUCGAGAGCGUGGGGAGCGAACAGG